UUUGCGGAAUAUUAUCCAUGGGCACGUGCUUGUUGGGUUUGACAUUCAGAAAGACCUGGAUGUUUUGGGAAUAACUUACCCGAAUGUAAAGGACGUAGCGACAUACGGUCCUUUCCUAAAAAAUUGCCAAAAACAGUCGCUUAAGACUUUAGCCUAUCAAGAGCUUCGUAUAAACAUACAAAACGGAUCUCAUGACUCAAUUGAAGAUGCGCGAGCCGUUAUGAAGAUCUAUAAGAAACAUCGAUUUUAAAUGUCUUACAAAACCCGAAUCUAACUUUUCAUUUUUAAGUACAAUUUAUAUUCUAUUUGGUAAAAUACUCAGAAAAUAAAUGUAUUUUUAAAUUA